rnacentral:rRNA from 1 species
UACGUAGGGUGCGAGCGUUGUCCGGAAUUAUUGGGCGUAAAGGGCUCGUAGCGGUUUGUCGCGUCGGGAGUGAAAACACACAGCUUAACUGUGUGCUGGCUUCCGAUACGGGCAGACUAGAGGUAUGCAGGGGAGAACGGAAUUCCUGGUGUAGCGGUGAAAUGCGCAGAUAUCAGGAGGAACACCGGUGGCGAAGGCGGUUCUCUGGGCAUUACCUGACGCUGAGGAGCGAAAGUGUGGGGAGCGAACAGG